AACCUUUUUUACAUUUUUUGAAUACCUUACAAAAAGUUGUUUACUGCAAUUUUUCUAGAACCCAUGCAUUAUCUUUGAUGCCAGUUCAGUGUUUUCAUUCCAGUGUUUUGUGACUAUGCCCUUUUAUGUGAAAUUGUCAUAAUACUUCAUGUCAUACAUUCUUAAAAAAAAAAUGUUAUCAUUCUGGGAGAAUUUAAAGUUUGAAUCAAAUAAUAAUUGCAGGGAUAUUUCACCUUAUAUAAAAGAGGCCAUGGGCUGAUUAAAGGCCUCUUCCCAUUGAAAACUUUCGUUAAAAGCAUACAGUUUUGCCCUAAAUGAAAACUAACACCACCUUUUUCAUUCCCAAAUUAGCUAUUAAAAUGAUAAUUCUUCCCCAAAUCAAUUAGCUAGGGCCUCUUUCUGACAUAAAAUGAAAAUAAACACUAAAUUGUUGAUGGAUUUUUAUGUAUAUACAUUUGACAAACAAGUAAUUGAGAAAGUUAUCUUUUUCUAUCCUUUAUCCAAUUUUUAGCUCGGCUGUUUUCAGAGAAAACCCGAGGUAUUGUCAUAGCCAGCUCGUCAUCCUACGUCCGCGUUGUGCUAAAACCUUUACAUUAUGUUAAGGUUUUGAACAUUGGCUCUGAAAUCAAAGUGCUUCAACCUACAACUUUGAAACUUCACAUGUAGCUGCACCUUGAUGCGUUCUACAUGCCACACCCAUUUUUGGGUCACUAGGUCAAAGGUCAAGGUCAUUGUGACCUAAAAAAAAUAAAUUCUGACAAGCUUUCAUUUAUUAAAAACUGCACCCGCAGCCGAGCGUGGCACCCGUUAUGCGGUGCUCUUGUUACAUGUAUGCUAUGAAGUUGUUAAUGGUACCCGUGAACAGCAACAAAGAGGUGAAAAAUUAUUUCAGUUUUAUGAAAUAUGUUCAAAAAUCAUACUCAUAAAUUGAUUGAAUUUCAUAAUUCCAUGCUGGUUCUUUAUGAUCUGUCUUAAGAUCAGUUUGAUUCAUUCAUCUUAGCUCAAUGUACAAAUAGUUGCUUUAAUUGAUGUAAAUACACAAUUGUGAACAACUUUUCAUAUUAUCUUGCAGUUAAAUCUGAUGAUACUGUUUCCUUCAAUACAAAUGAGUUGUUUUUGUGCAUAGUAAUAUUAGUGAGUAUAUCUUAGAAGUAUGUACAUGUAUUAGUUAUUGGAUUGUGAUUAGGUCUAGAAAACAAUACAUGACAGUUGCAUGUGAUAGUGUUGUGAUAUUUGUAUUUAUAGCCCUCUGUCUUCUAAAAAAUAAUUAUAGAUCUACAUAACUGUUAAUUUUAAUACUCUAAUGCCAUUAUUUUCUAGCAUAUAGGUUAGCUUAGUUUGUAGAAUGCUGGACUACAAAUCAGAGAAUGGCAAGUUCAAUCCUGUGCCCUGCCACAAAACUGGUGUAAAGAUUGGCCACAUUAUCCUUUCUACUGCCAUUUCCCCGCUACCUCAGAUUCAAGAGGUAGUUUUUCAGUUACUGGCAUAAGUGUAUGAAUUUGUAUAAAGCUGUCGAUAUAAUUGAAAAAAACAUUUGAAAGCCGCAAAGAAAAUCAGAUAAACUAAAAAAAACAAAAAACUAACAUUUGCCAGUUUUUGUCUGAAACUAUUUGAUAUUGUCAAGUCUUUGCAACCCCAUGUAAAAAAACAAUCAUAGAAGUAAAUGAUCCUUAAAUGAAGGACUUUGUCUGUUGUUUAGAUAGUCUCAUAGCUCCUUUAUUUGGUAUCCUUAAAAGAAAUGUGGUGUCUGUUGUUAGUAGUUAUUUCAGGUUUUUAUGCCCCCGGUAGGGUGGCAUAUAGCAGUUAAACUGUUAGUCCGUUUGUCUGUCUGUCUGUCUGAUUGUCUGUCUGUCUGUCUGUGUGUCCCUUCGAAAACUUUACAUUGGCCAUAAUUUUUGCAAUAUUGAAUAUAGCAACUUGAUAUUUGGCAUGCAUGUUUAUCUCAUGAAGCUGCACAUUUUGAGUGGUGAAAGGUCAAGGUCAUCUCUCAAGGUCAAAAGUAAAAAAAAUACAAUCCAAGGGAAGUAAUAAGCUUUAAAAGGGAGAUAAUUUCUAAACCUGCCAAAUGAUAUAUUGAAAUUUUAUUUCAAAGCGGCGCAAUAGCGGGCAUUGUGUUUCUGACGAACACAUCUCUUGUUUAAAUUGUAUUUCCUUAUCAAACACCUUUUAUACGUUUCAUAAACAGUCAUUCCUGUAAUGUAAAACUUUUACUACCUAGAGAUUGUUCAUCAUAAUCAUUUUUUGGCAGCAUAUAUUUUAUUUGUCUUAUAUUUGGUACUAGGUUCAGGCUAUGCAUUAAGACAGCUACUAGUAUCUUUUAUUGUUACAUGUCCAGAAACAAAAUACCCUAACAAGCCUGAACAAUCUCAAUAAAGAUUCAAAUACUAGUUUAGUAAUCAAAAUUUUGCAGUGACAUAUACUGCUUUCUUAAUAUAUAAUAAAUUUAUAAAUAAUAUUGAGUUGGAUAACUUAAGAACAAUAUUCUAUUAUAUUUUCACUUCUUUUAGACAAGUUCAAACUUGUUAUCAGAACUUAAAAAAAUGUUUUUUAGAAGUUGAUUUGUAGAUAAUUUGUUAUUGAUAUAGUUUUCUGGGGAGGCAACUUUCACGCGGGCUAUUGACAAUAUUAACUAUAUACAUGUUAUUGCUUUACAGACCACACUGUACUGUAGUUGCACCCCAUUGUUUUUGUGCAGGAUGAAACUCCAACUUUGUUAAACACUUCAUUUCUCAAGUCAUUAUGGAAAGUAGGAAAGGUGUAAGUUAGUCUGCAUUAAAGAAACUUAAUAUAACUACUGGUACAUUGUGUUUAAUUGUGUUGAUCUGACUUUAAGUUUGGACGAGACAUAAUGUUUGACAAGAAGCAUGUUGGGCUUUUUAAUGCAUAAAAUCAAUUAAAUUAUGAAAAAACCUGUCUAUUGCAUAAUAUGGAAGAUGUCUAGUCAUGCGUUAUAACAAAAACAUGUAUUUUUGAACUUCUUGUCACUGAUAAACUAUUGUAUUAUGGUAACAUGCAAAUAAAAAGUUUAAUAAUUUAUCUGACCUAAACUAGCAGUAUAUCCUACACUUGAUGUCAAAGUCACAUGUUACAGUAUUUUUAAUUAAUAAUCACCGUAAAAGAAAGCAAAAUGUAUUCUAUUACUUGGGUUUUUAUUGAAUGAACAUUCUAAAUUUAAAAAGCGCUGCUUUUGUUCCACACUAUAAUUUAAUUGCCAUAUAUACUAUCACCCUUUAACGCUGAAAAGCGAUUCCUUUCCAAGUUAUAGCAGUUGAUAUUGCAGUUUGAUAUGGUAAUUAUUAACUAUGAAGCAAAACAAAAGAGCAAUUAUGUGUAAUACAUCGUUUAGUUACAAAGUUUUAACAGAUUAUGAACUCCAUUACAUACCUCUACCCAACACUUAGAAACCCAUACAACCAGACAAUGUUUACAUAUUUCUUAAGUAUUUAGUGCCAUGUUAUAUUACCAAAUUGUUGUGUUUGAAAUAUUAUUAGAUUUGAAGAAUAUAACUGUACUGUUGUAUAACUUAGCAUGUUAUCGUCACUGUAUUUUUGUAAACAUAUCUAUGUAUUUAAAUAUAGAUUAAAUUUGAAUGCUUAUAAUUGAAACUUAUUUACAAUUACUAGUAAAAUUGUUUGCAUUAUUUUUAGCUCACCUGUCACGAAGUGACAUGGUGAGGUUAUGUGAUCGUGUGAUGUCCGGGGUCGGUAUGUGUGUGCAUGUGUCCGUCAACAUUUUCUUUGUGUAAACAGUAGAGGUCACAGUUUUCAUCCAAUCUUUAUGAAAUUUGGUCAGAAUGUUUAUCUUCAUGAAAUCUGGGUUGGUAUUGUAUUUGGGUCACCUGUGGUCAAAAACUAGGUCACUAGGUCAAAUAAUAGAAAAACCUUGUGUAGGCAAUAGAGGUCACAGUUUUUCAUCUAAUCUUUAUGAAAUUUGGUCAGAAUGUUUAUCUUGAUGAAAUCUGGGUUGGGAUUGUAUUUGGUUAGUCAGGUGAGCGAUUCAGGGCCAUCAUGGCCCUCUUGUUUUGUUUUAACCUGAUAACUUGCACAUAAUCAAUAAGGUCUAUUGUUUUUUCGUAGCAUUGUAAAAAUCAUCUUCGCUUCAUGCAUUGGUAUCAAUCGUAAAUCAUGUAAUUACUAUUUUGUAUAAUCUAUAUAACUAUACAUUUGUUUUCCAUUUGUGUAAUGUUCCAUACUCUAUGUAAAUAAUAUAAUUUUACAGUUAUUUUGUGUGUACGUUUAUAAUAUUUUCGUUUCUUUUAUUAAUUCUCCGUUGCAAAGCUGAUGGGGUUAUUAUAGGAAUGCCUUUAUUCCGUCUGCCCUUAACAUUGUUAAGGUCAUUAAGAAGAUGUUCAGUAGGUAUGAGCCAGGAACGCUUGCCCAAUGUCAAUGUGAUAGUGUAAGGUCUAAAAUGUGCACCUCUGUUUUCGUGUCCAAUCCACAUCUCCUAUUCCAUAAAAGGAUUUUCAGACAACUUUGCUACAGUGUUUAGGUCGUUGAGGUGCCAGAGAUGUGCAAAACGCAUAAAUCGGUCAUGCCCGCUCAAGGUUUAUGUCCACUUUGAGUCUCCAUUUCUGCUCCAUAUCUGCUAUGCCCUCUGGAGAAUUUUUAAUGGAACCCUGCCUAAAUGUUAACGUUAUUUAGACAAUGGUCAGAUGGCAUGAGUUUGUCAUGCCGGUUCAAAGUCAAUGGUUAGGUUUUUAAGACAAUGGUCAGAUGGCAUGAGUUUGUCAUGCCGGUUCCAGGUCAAGGGUUAGAUUAUUUAGACAAUGGUCAGAUGGCAUGAGUUUGUCAUGCCGGUUCGAGGUCAAGGGUUAGGUUAUUUAGAAAAUGGUCAGAUGGCAUGAGUUUGUCAUGCCGGUUCAAGGUCAAGGGUUAGGUUAUUUAGAAAAUGGUCAGAUGGCAUGAGUUUGUCAUGCCGAUUUAAGGUCAAGGGUUAGGUAAUUUAGACAAUGGUCAGAUGGCAUGAGUUUGUCAUGCCGGUUUCAGGUCAAGGGUUAGGUUAUUUAGAAAAUGGUCAGAUGGCAUGAGUUUGUCAUGCCGGUUUCAGGUCAAGGGUUAGGUUAUUUAGAAAAUGGUCAGAUGGCAUGAGUUUGUCAUGCCAGUUCAAGGUCAAGGGUUAGGUUACUUUGACAAUGAUCAGAUGGCAUGAGUUUGUCAUGCAGGGUCAAGGUUUAGGUUAUUUUGACAAUUGUCAGAUGGCGUGAGUUUGUCAUGCCGGUUCAAGGUCCAGAUCAAGAUUUGUGAGAAAGGUUUUUAGCUACCAUUUUUUGCUGCAUAUACAAUUUAAUAUUGGUGGGUUUUCAUGAAUUUUGGUCACAAUGUUAAGCUUAUUUAUCAAAUGUGUAAAAGGCAUUACGAAAUAACACUUGCUCAACGUCAAGAAGAUGUCCAGCAGUCACCAGUCGAUAACACUGGCCCAAACUCAAUGUCACCACCAUUUAAUCUCUUCGAGGGAUAAAGCUGUCUCUUGGACUGUAGUAUUUUGUUGUGUAUUUUUCAUGUAGCCACACACUUUUGUAUUAUAAAUAAAAACACAUUUUGUAAAACUUCUUUUUGUCUUCAACCCCGACUUCUUUAAACGAUUUAUGUUGGUAACUGACUUUUUAACUAAAUAUACAUUAUUGUAUGGUACACUUUUGUUUUUACAAUGGCCCUUGUUUCUGAGCAAAAUGGACGAAAAAGACACUGAAAGUAGACAAAAUCACUGGCUACAGCAUAUACAUUGCAUUUAAAAUGCAAAGUACGUCUGUGAAUCCGCCAAUGCUCAUGGGUUUAUGCUGUUAAGUUAACUUAGAUAAUUUUUGGUAAACUGUGCAUGCUAUUUAUUAAGCUGUGUUUGCUAUUUGUUCAACUAAGAGAGCCCAUGUGUGUGGAAUUUAGUAAUUGACCAUUAGAUGUUCAUUGGUAACACAGGGUGUUUUCAAUUAUAUUUUAAAAUUGAACUUUUACAUUUUUAUUUUUUCAGUCUGAACUUUUUUAUUUAUUACGAGCUUUUUUUUUAAAUAGCAAAUUUUGAAACAACUAUAUAAUAUACAAUUUUAAUUUUCAACCAGUUCCCAUUUGUUCACAUUCAUGUAGAAAAAUAAUGGUAAAACAAAGUUGAUCCUGCGUUCAUGUUAAUGCUCACUGUUUAAAUUUCAUAAUCUUUUUUCUUGGUAACAAUUUUCCAAUGUUUCAAUUAAAUUAAAUUUAUUUCAAACAUCUGUCUUUCGACAAUCGAUGAGACCAAAUUUAUACAUAUCACUUUAUGUUUUGCGUAACAUUUAUACUUCAUCACAAUAAAGCUCAAAUGUU